UACGUAGGGGGCAAGCGUUAUCCGGAUUUACUGGGUGUAAAGGGAGCGUAGGUGGCAUGGUAAGCCAGAAGUGAAAACCCAGGGCUCAACUCUGUGGAUUGCUUUUGGAACUAUCAAGCUAGAGUGCUGGAGGGGUAAGCGGAAUUCCUAGUGUAGCGGUGAAAUGCGUAGAUAUCAGGAGGAACAUCGGUGGCGAAAGCGCUUUACUGGACCAUUAUUGACGCUGAGGAACGAAAGCCAGGGGAGCAAAUGGG
rnacentral:rRNA from 1 species